CCCUUAGAUGUUCUGGGCCGCACGCGUGCUACACUGACCGGCGCAACAAGUUUCUUUCCUUGGCUCGAUAGGCCUGGGUAAUCUUUGAACGCCGGUCGUGAUGGGGAUAGAUCCUUGCAAUUUUUGAUCUUCAACGAGGAAUUCCUAGUAAAUGCGAGUCAUCAUCUCGCGUUGAUUACGUCCCUGCCCUUUGUACACACCGCCCGUCGCACCUACCGAUUGAAUGGUCCGGUGAAGCCUCGGGAUUGCGAACGCUUCGUGCGGACGCGAGAACUUGGCUAAACCUUACCAUUUAGAGGAAGGUGAAGUCGUAACA
rnacentral:rRNA from 1 species